rnacentral:rRNA from 1 species
GUGCCAGCAGCAGCGGUAAUACGGAGGGGGCUAGCGUUGUUCGGAAUUACUGGGCGUAAAGCGCACGUAGGCGGACCAGAAAGUUGGGGUGAAAUCCCGGGGCUCAACCUCGGAACUGCCUUCAAAACUAUUGGUCUGGAGUUCGAGAGAGGUGAGUGGAAUUCCGAGUGUAGAGGUGAAAUUCGUAGAUAUUCGGAGGAACACCAGUGGCGAAGGCGGCUCACUGGCUCGAUACUGACGCUGAGGUGCGAAAAGCGUGGGGAGCAAAACAGGAUUAGAUACCCUGGUAGUCCACGCCGUAAAACGAUGAAUGCCAGUCGUCGGGCAGCAUGCUGUUCGGUGACACACCUAACGGAUUAAAGCAUUCCGCCUGGGGA